UACAGAGGUGGCAAGCGUUGUUCGGAAUUACUGGGCGUAAAGGGCGCGUAGGCGGCCUUCUAAGUCAGACGUGAAAUCCCCAGGCUUAACUUGGGAACUGCGUCUGAUACUGGGAGGCUUGAGUGCGGGAGAGGGAUGUGGAAUUCCAGGUGUAGCGGUGAAAUGCGUAGAUAUCUGGAAGAACACCCGUGGCGAAGGCGGCUCUCUGGGACGGUACUGACGCUGAGACGCGAAAGCGUGGGGAUCAAACAGG
rnacentral:rRNA from 1 species